GAUGAACGCUGGCGGCGUGCCUAAUACAUGCAAGUCGAGCGAACGGACGAGAAGCUUGCUCUUCUGAUGUUAGCGGCGGACGGGAGAGUACCACGUGGAUAACCUACCUAUGAGACUGUGAUAACUUCGGGAAACCGGCGCUAAUACCGGAUAGUUUUUUGAACCGCGAUGGUCAAACGUGAAAGACGGUCUUGCUGUCACUUAUAGCUGGACCCGCGCUGCAUUAGCUAGUUGCUAAGGUAGCGGCUUACCAAGGCAGCGAUGCAUAGGCGACCUCAGAGGGUCGACGGGCACACUGGAAGAGAGACACGGCCCAGACACCGAGAGUGGGAAACAGUAGGGAAUCUUCCGCGAAGGGCGAGAGCGUGACGGAGCAAAGCCGCGUGAGGGAUGAUGGUCCUAGGAUCGUAAAGCUCUGUUAGUAGGGGAGAACAUAAGUGUAAGUAACUGUGAACAUCUUGACGGUACCUGAGCAAAAAGCCACGGCUAACUACGUG
rnacentral:rRNA from 1 species